rnacentral:rRNA from 1 species
CCUCAGUAACGGCGAGUGAAGCGGCAACAGCUCAAAUUUGAAAUCUGGCUCCUUCGGGGCCCGAGUUGUAAUUUGCAGAGGAUGCUUCGGGUACGGGUUCCUUCCGAGUUCCCUGGAACGGGACGCCAUAGAGGGUGAGAGCCCCGUCUGGUAGGACACCCAGCCCGUGUGAAGCUCCCUCGACGAGUCGAGUAGUUUGGGAAUGCUGCUCUAACGGGAGGUAUACUCCUUCCAAGGCUAAAUACCGGCUGGAGACCGAUAGCGCACAAGUAGAGUGAUCGAAAGAUGAAAAGCACUUUGAAAAGAGAGUCAAAUAGCACGUGAAAUUGUUGAAAGGGAAGCGCUCGCUACCAGACAUGGGUUCGGCGGUUCAACCGGGGCCACGCCCCGGGGCACUCCGCCGGCCCAGGCCAGCAUCAGCUUUCCGUCGGGGGCAAAGGCGUCGGGAAUGUGGCUCUCCUUCGGGGGAGUGUUAUAGCCCGGCGUGUCAUACCCUUCGGGGGGCUGAGGUACGCGCUUCUGCAAGGAUGCUGGCGUAAUGGUAGCUAGUGACCCGUCUUGAAACACGGACCAAGGAGUCAACCUUAUGUGCGAGUGCCCGGGCGUAAAACCCCAGCGCGGAAUGAAAGUGAACGUAGGUGAGAGCUUCGGCGCAUCACCGACCGAUCCUGAUGUCCUCGGACGGAUUUGAGUGAGAGCAUAUAGGGUUGGACCCGAAAGAAGAUGAACUAUGCGUGUGUAGGGUGAAGCCAGAGGAAACUCUGGUGGAGGCUCGCAGCGGUUCUGACGUGCAAAUCGAUCGUCAAACAUGCGCAUGGGGGCGAAAGACUAAUCGAAUCUUCUGGUAGCUGGUUUCCGCCGAAGUUUCCCUCAGGAUAGCAGUGUUGAUCCCAGUUUUAUGAGGUAAAGCGAAUGAUUAGGGACUCGGGGGCGCUAUUUAGCCUUCAUCCAUUCUCAAACUUUAAAUAUGUAAGAAGUCCCCGUUAC